UACACACCGCCCGUCACACCAUGGGAGUGGGUUGCNCCAGAAGUAGCUAGUCUAACCGCAAGGGGGACGGUUACCACGGNGUGAUUCAUGACUGGGGUG
rnacentral:rRNA from 1 species